rnacentral:rRNA from 1 species
CCUACGGGGGGCAGCAGUGAGGAAUAUUGGUCAAUGGGCGAGAGCCUGAACCAGCCAAGUCGCGUGAGGGAGUACUGCCCUAUGGGUUGUAAACCUCUUUUGUCGGGGAGCAAAAGCCGGACGUGUCCGGCUGUGAGAGUACCCUAAGAAAAAGCAUCGGCCAACUCCGUUCCAGCAGCCGCGGUAAUUCGGGGGAUGCGAGGGUUAUCCGGAUUUAUUGGGUUUAAAGGGUGCGCAGGGGGAUUUUUAAGUCAGUGGGCAAAUCGUGGGGCUAAACCCCAUCCAGCCGUUGAUACUGGGGAUCUAGAGUGUGCGAGAGGUAUGCGGAAUGCGUGGUGUAGCGGUGAAAUGCAUAGAUAUCACGCAGAACCCAGAUUGCGAAGGCAGCAGACCGGUGCACAACUGACGCUCAGGCACGAAAGCGUGGGUAUCGAACAGGAUUAGAUACCCGAGUAGUC